rnacentral:rRNA from 1 species
UCGGAUUACUGGGCUUAAAGAGUUCGUAGGUGGUUGAAAAAGUUAGUGGUGAAAUCCCAGAGCUUAACUCUGGAACUGCCAUUAAAACUUUUCAGCUAGAGUAUGAUAGAGGAAAGCAGAAUUUCUAGUGUAGAGGUGAAAUUCGUAGAUAUUAGAAAGAAUACCAAUUGCGAAGGCAGCUUUCUGGAUCAUUACUGACACUGAGGAACGAAAGCAUGGGUAGCGAAGAGGAUUAGAUACCCUCGUAGUCCAUGCCGUAAACGAUGUGUGUUAGACGUUGGAAAUUUAUUUUCAGUGUCGCAGCGAAAGCGAUAAACACACCGCCUGGGGAGUACGACCGCAAGGUUAAAACUCAAAUGAAUUGACGGGGACCCGCACAAGUAGUGGAGCAUGUGGUUUAAUUCGAAGAUACGCGCAGAACCUUACCAACACUUGACAUGUUCGUCGCGACUCUAAGAGAUUAGAGUUUUCGGUUCGGCCGGACGAAACACAGGUGCUGCAUGGCUGUCGUCAGCUCGUGUCGUGAGAUGUUGGGUUAAGUCCCGCAACGAGCGCAACCCUCACUUUUAGUUGCCAUCAUUUAGUUGGGCACUCUGAAAGAACUGCCAGUGAUAAGCUGGAGGAAGGUGGGGAUGACGUCAAGUCCUCAUGGCCCUUACGUGUUGGGCUACACACGUGCUACAAUGGUAUCUACAACAGGAAGCAAGACUGCGAGGUCAAGCAAAUCCUUAAAAGAUACCUCAGUUCGGAUUGCACUCUGCAACUCGAGUGCAUGAAGCUGGAAUUACUAGUAAUCGUGGAUCAGCGUGCCACGGUGAAUGCGUUCCCGGGUCUUGUACACACCGCCCGUCACACCAUGGGAGUUGGUUCUACCUUAAGGCAAGGUUUAAAACCCUUGACCACGGUAUAGUCAGCGACUGGGGUGAAGUCGUAACAAGGUAGCCGUAGGGGAACCUGCGGCUG